ACUGCACUCCACUCCUUUCUGCUUUUGAUUCUAAUAAGUCCUGCUGGGGAUGGAGACAUAGCAUAGACAGCAAAACACUUGCAAGGAUCUGAGUUCCAUUUAGGAAAGAACAGCUGGGUGUGGCUGCAUAGAUUUGUAAUCCUGGUGCUGGGAAGGUUCCUGCAAUCCUUGCUGGCAUGGCUUCAUACCGAUGAGGCAAAGAAAUUGACUGCAAUGAGACGGUGAAUAAAAAUUGACCCCUGGCCUAUAGUCAGCAGCAACCCAUCCAAGAUGCCAACCCAGUAUCCACAGUGGCCAGCCCAGGAACCCUGCUUGCAGGAAGCCAGACCACCACCUCUGGCAACAAUUCUGGAAACCAUGCAAUGACACCUAUAAUAACCACUCCCAAAUGGCGAGAUUUGGAUUCCAAACUGGCAGUUUCCUUACUGCUCAUCUGACUUCCAGUUUACAACCAAACAGGGAAAGCCAAGUAUCUCUUCUACCUAACCACAUGGGAAGGGAGACCUGCUUCCAGUUCAGUCAGCUCCCAUUUCCCAAGGGUAGCCCUCUCCAAUCAG
rnacentral:lncRNA from 1 species